rnacentral:rRNA from 1 species
GGUUGUAAAGCCCUGUGGGGUAGAACGAACUGGCAUCGGGCUAAUAUCCCGGUGUCUUGACGGUACUGCCUUAGCAAGCAUCGGCUAACUCUGUGCCAGCAGCCGCGGUAAGACAGAGGAUGCGAACGUUGCUCGGAUUUACUGGGCGUAAAGCGCGUGUAGGCGGUCUCGUUAGUCGGGUGUGAAAGCCCCGGGCUCAACCCGGGAAGUGCACCCGAUACUGCGAGACUGGGGUACUGAAGAGGAGAGCGGAAUUCCCGGUGUAGCGGUGAAAUGCGUAGAGAUCGGGGAGGAAGGCCGGUGGCGAAGGCGGCGCUCUGGAACAUACCUGACGCUGAGACACGAAAGCGUGGGGGAGCAAAACAGGGAUUAGAUACCCUGGUAGUCCACGCCCUAAACUAUGGAUACUAAGUGUCGGCGGGUUACCGCCGGUGCCGCAGCUAACGCAUUAAGUAUCCGCCUGGGAAGUACGGCCGCAAGGUUGAACUCAAAGGAUUGACGGGGGCCCGCGACCAAGCGGUGGAGGCA